UAAUACGGAGGGUGCGAGCGUUAUCCGGAUUUACUGGGUUUAAAGGGUGCGUAGGUGGGCAGGUAAGUCAGUGGUGAAAUCUCCGGGCUUAACCCGGAAACUGCCAUUGAUACUAUCUGUCUUGAAUAUCCUGGAGGUGAGCGGAAUAUGUCAUGUAGCGGUGAAAUGCUUAGAUAUGACAUAGAACACCGAUUGCGAAGGCAGCUCACUACGGGGUCAUUGACACUGAGGCACGAAAGCGUGGGGAUCAAACAGG
rnacentral:rRNA from 1 species